UAAUUAAGUGUUAACUGCACAUUGACUUUUCACGUCAAAAGAGCACAUAUAUGCAUUUAGCU
rnacentral:tRNA from 1 species